rnacentral:rRNA from 1 species
AGAGUUUGAUCCUGGCUCAGGAUGAACGCUGGCGGCGUGCUUAACACAUGCAAGUCUAGGGGUAGCAAUACCACUGGCGCACGGGUGAGCAACACGUAGGUUAUCUACCCCCAUCACAGACAUAACCCCGGGAAACCGGGGCUAAUAUCUGAUGAGGUCGCGAGAUCAAAGCUUCGGCGGAUGGGGAUGAGCCUGCGGCUGAUUAGCUAGUUGGUGAGGUAAUGGCUCACCAAGGCGACGAUCAGUAGCUGGUCUGAGAGGACGAACAGCCACACUGGAACUGAGACACGGUCCAGACUCCUACGGGAGGCAGCAGUGAGGAAUAUUGGUCAAUGGGAGCAAUCCUGAACCAGCAAUGCCGCGUGUGGGAUGACAGGGCUUCGCCUUGUAAACCACUGUCGGACGGGACGAAAGGAGGCCACGGGCCUCUGGGACGGUACCGUCAAAGGAAGGGUCGGCUAACUACGUGCCAGCAGCCGCGGUAAUACGUAGGACCCGAGCGUUGUCCGGAUUUACUGGGUAUAAAGGGUGCGUAGGCGGCCUUGUGCGUCAGAGGUGAAAUAUCCGGGCUUAACCCGGAGGGUGCCUUUGAUACGGCAGGGCUUGAGUGCGAGAGAGGAUGAUGGAAUUCCUGGUGUAGCGGUGAAAUGCGUAGAUAUCAGGAGGAACACCGGUGGCGAAGGCGGUCAUCUGGCUCGUAACUGACGCUGAGGCACGAAAGCGCGGGGAUCAAACAGGAUUAGAUACCCUGGUAGUCC